rnacentral:pre_miRNA from 1 species
AGUGGGAUAGCUGGGUCAAGUGGUGGUUCUGUUCCAAAUUUUCUGAGGAAUUUCCACACUGCUUUCCAGAGUGGUCUCACCAAUCUACAGUCCCACAGCGAU